rnacentral:tRNA from 1 species
GCGCCAUUAGCUCAGGUGGAGAGAGCUGCGGACUUCUAAUCCGCCGGUCCGGGGUUCAAGUCCCUGAUGGCGUACCA